rnacentral:lncRNA from 1 species
GAUGGGCUUUAUCCAUGCCAAACCGUUUUAAUACUUUUUAGUAUAAGUUGAUUGAUGCACCAAAAUCCCAUUAGCGCUGUGCUCAAUCUGUAAGCCAAGACAAUAUUUUGUCUUUCCAAGGUCUUUCAUCUCAAACUCAAGUUUAGGAUAAUCAACAGUCUUUUGGAGCUCUUCAGAAGUUUCAACUAGAUUCAUGUCGUCGACAUAUAUUGCCACUAUCGCAAAUCCAGACUUUGAUUUCUUAAUAAAC